CGGGAUUAGAUACCCCGGUAGUCCACGCCCUAAACGAUGAGAACUAGCUGUUGGUUGCGUAAAUGCAGUCAGUAGCGAAGCUAACGCGUUAAGUUCUCCGCCUGGGGAGUACGACCGCAAGGUUGAAACUCAAAGGAAUUGACGGGGGCCCGCACAAGCGGUGGAGCAUGUGGUUUAAUUCGAUGCAACGCGAAGAACCUUACCAUCCCUUGACAUCCUGAGAAUUUCUCGUAAUGAGAAAGUGCCUUCGGGAACUCAGUGACAGGUGCUGCACGGCUGUCGUCAGCUCGUGUCGUGAGAUGUUGGGUUAAGUCCCGCAACGAGCGCAACCCCUAUCUUUAGUUGCCAGCACGUAAUGGUGGGAACUCUAGAGAGACUGCCGGUGAUAAGCCGGAGGAAGGUGGGGACGACGUCAAGUCAUCAUGGCCCUUACGGGAUGGGCUACACACGUGCUACAAUGGUGCAUACAGAGGGUUGCCAACCCGCGAGGGGGAGCUAAUCCCAGAAAGUGCAUCUUAGUCCGGAUCGCAGUCUGCAACUCGACUGCGUGAAGUUGGAAUCGCUAGUAAUCGCGAAUCAGCAAUGUCGCGGUGAAUACGUUCCCGGGCCUUGUACACACCGCCCGUCACACCAUGGGAGUGGGUUGCACCAGAAGUAGCUAGACUAACCUUCGGGAGGUCGGUUACCACGGUGUGGUUCAUGACUGGGGUGAAGUCGUAACAAGGUA
rnacentral:rRNA from 1 species